rnacentral:rRNA from 1 species
UACAGAGGAUGCAAGCGUUAUCCGGAAUGAUUGGGCGUAAAGCGUCUGUAGGUGGCUUUUUAAGUCCGCCGUCAAAUCCCAGGGCUCAACUCUGGACAGGCGGUGGAAACUACCAAGCUGGAGUACGGUAGGGGCAGAGGGAAUUUCCGGUGGAGCGGUGAAAUGCGUAGAUAUCAAGAGGAACACCUGAGGUGAAGACGGGUUGCUGGGCUGACACUGACGCUGAGGCGCGAAAGCGUGGGGAGCAAACAGG